rnacentral:rRNA from 1 species
GGAGGGGGCGAGCGUUGUCYGAAGUUACUGGGCGUAAAGCGCGCRUAGGCGGGUUGYUAAGUCCGCUGUGAAAGCCCGAGGCUCAACCUCGGAGGGUCGGUGGAUACUGGCAGUCUUGAAGGUGGUAGGGGGAGAUGGAAUUACCGGUGUAGCGGUGAAAUGCGUAGAGAUCGGUAGGAACACCAGUGGCGAAGGCGGUCUCCUGGCCCACUCUUGACGCUGAGGCGCGAAAGCUGGGGGAGCGAACGGGAUUAGAUACCCCGGUAGUCCCAGCCCUAAACGAUGGAUACUAGGUGUCGGGGGUAUCGACCCCCCCGGUGCCGCCGCUAACGCAGUAAGUAUCCCGCCUGGGGAGUACGGCCGCAAGGUUG